rnacentral:rRNA from 1 species
GACGAACGCUGGCGGCGUGCUUAACACAUGCAAGUCGAACGCUGAAGCUUGGUGCUUGCACUGGGUGGAUGAGUGGCGAACGGGUGAGUAAUACGUGAGUAACCUGCCCUUGACUCUGGGAUAAGCCUGGGAAACUGGGUCUAACACUGGAUACGACAUGUCACCGCAUGGUGGUGUGUGGAAAGGGUUUUACUGGUUUUGGAUGGGCUCACGGCCUAUUAGCUUGUUGGUGGGGUAAUGGCUCACCAAGGCGACGACGGGUAGCCGGCCUGAGAGGGUGACCGGCCACACUGGGACUGAGACACGGCCCAGACUCCUACGGGAGGCAGCAGUGGGGAAUAUUGCACAAUGGGCGGAAGCCUGAUGCAGCGACGCCGCGUGAGGGAUGACGGCCUUCGGGUUGUAGACCUCUUUCAGCACGGAAGAAGCGAAAGUGACGGUACGUGCAGAAGAAGCGCCGGCUAACUACGUG